rnacentral:lncRNA from 1 species
AUUCUCGGGUGUUGGUAGAUCUCUCUGCAUCCCGGGCGCGGCUGGGUUGAGUGUUCUCUUAGGAAUGGUGGAGAACUGGGUCCUUGAGGAGUCACCGGGGAGACUGCUCGCACUGUUUGUGGUGCGACGGGCACUGGCCCAGGGACAGAGGGAAGAGAAGGGCCAGCCAGCGGCAGUGGAGUCGGCAGGCUGGCUGCCCACUCGCUUUCUCUCCUCACAAGACUCGCUUCCCCGGCCUUCGAGGAUCUCGAACGGACUAUAGUCUGGACUCGCUGGGCUGGAGGAAACUUGGCCGCUGGCCACCCGGAGGAGACUGAGAAGCCUUUGGUCAACAGGGCGCCUUUCCUUGAACCAAAACAAAACUUUCCGAAGCCGGAAAGGAAACGCCCAGUGUCGCCUGAGAGCCCUGGAGCUGCGCGAGACCCAGGCACUGAGUGCGGCCUCGGCCUCUGACCUCUAACACGCCGGGAACAAACCAGCUGGGGCGGCCCGCAGGCCUGCGGGAGCGGAAUGUGACCCGAAACCGACGGACUUCCUGACCCAUAGUCCAUAGUUCUCUUCAGCAACUUGAACAUUUUGGAAAAAGAAACAAGUCUUAACAUGCCACGACCUAAUGGAAAAACUAAAUCCCCUUCCUACACCUUGCUUUCCAAAAGUUAAAAAAAAAUAGUUAAACGCUAUUAGAGGUCUCAAGUUCACUGUCACCAGAUCAGCUAGGUCCAGAAUCUUCAGUUCUUGAAGCCAAGCCCUACAAAUAGAUUUAUUGUAGCAUAUCACACCUCUUCAGGUGACUUAAAACAAUGAGAAUUCAUGAGAAAUUAUCUUCAUCCUCAAGUAAAAAUCAUGAGGUGCCUUUCACAUGGAUGAAAUUGAAAGUGACAGGAAACUGCCUUGGAUUCACCCAGGGUAUCCUCCAUUAGCACACUGAUUUGGGGGUCCAUGGAAUAGUAGAGUCCAGAGCAACUUCUGAAACUCAGUCCUGGAGCCAGCUAGCUCCCUAGGAGAUGGAUGCUUAUGAAGAACAGGGCACUAGAAAUUGUAAUAAUAGGAGCCCAAGCAAGAAGCACCCUUGGCUUAGCUAAGAAUGGAGGAAGUGGACUUGAAGAGCUACUCCCCUGAAGAGCCACUGAAUAUGAGUCACCAAUGGACCAGCACUUUCUGUACACCUUGUAGCACCAGAUUUCAACAGAACACAGUGUACCAGUGGUCCUAUUCACUGUUUAUCUAACAAACAUUUAUUGAACACCUGUAUUGAGCUAGGCCCUCUUCUAGACACUGGUGAUACAAUGGUGAAUGAGA